rnacentral:rRNA from 1 species
UGGGGAAUAUUGGACAAUGGGCGCAAGCCUGAUCCAGCCAUGCCGCGUGAGUGAUGAAGGCCCUAGGGUUGUAAAGCUCUUUCACCGGUGAAGAUAAUGACGGUAACCGGAGAAGAAGCCCCGGCUAACUUCGUGCCAGCAGCCGCGGUAAUACGAAGGGGGCUAGCGUUGUUCGGAUUUACUGGGCGUAAAGCGCACGUAGGCGGACUUUUAAGUCAGGGGUGAAAUCCCGGGGCUCAAACCCGGAACUGCCUUUGAUACUGGAAGUCUUGAGUAUGGUAGAGGUGAGUGGAAUUCCGAGUGUAGAGGUGAAAUUCGUAGAUAUUCGGAGGAACCCCAGUGGCGAAGGCGGCUCUCUGGACCAUUACUGACGCUGAGGUGCGAAAGCGUGGGGAGCAAACAGU